GGGUGUCAACACUAUAAUAAAACGAUAAUUUAGAAAAUAUUUCUGCACAAAGAGUGUACUCUCUUUGGUCUAACACUAAAUGCAGACUCAGGUGGACACAAAAUCCACUGGGCUGAUUAAUUUAACACAUCUACAUUGGUGCCUUAUACACCUAUUUAUUCGACCAGUUUCGCAAUACCAGAUAUUUUUUGGACAAUCAGAGUCUACAUUACAUCUUUUUC
rnacentral:lncRNA from 1 species